rnacentral:rRNA from 1 species
AUCGAACGCUGGCGGCAGGCCUAACACAUGCAAGUCGAACGAGUGGCGGACGGGUGAGUAAUGUCUGGGAAACUGCCCGAUGGAGGGGGAUAACUACUGGAAACGGUAGCUAAUACCGCAUACCAUCAGAUGUUCCGAGAUGGGACUAGCUAGUUGGGGGGGUAACGGCCCAUCAAGGCGACGAUCCCUAGCUGGUCUGAGAGGAGGACCAGCCAAACUGGAACUGAGACACGUUCCAGACUCCUACGGGAGGCAGCAGUGGGGAAUAUUGGACAAUGGGCGAAAGCCUGAUGCAGCCAUGCCGCGUGUAUGAAGAAGGCCUUCGGGUUGUAAAGUACUUUCGGCGGAGAGGCGUUACCCGCAGAGGAAGCACCGGCUAACUCCGUGCCAGCAGCCGCGGUAAUAC